rfam:Roseburia sp. 40_7 Ley3_66761_scaffold_2647, whole genome shotgun sequence.
UGUAGCGGCAAUAUAGAAGUUCCCACACUCUGUCCCAGUAUCAGAAAUUCCCGGACAGGACGUCCGGGAAAGGUGCUGCCUGAGUCAGGAUGACGAAUCAGCACCGGUUUCGUACGGAGCCAUAACCCAGAGCAGAGUGAGCGGAACUUCUGAUUGCCGAUACC